UACAGAGGUCCCAAGCGUUGUUCGGAUUCAUUGGGCGUAAAGGGUGCGUAGGCGGCGCGGUAAGUCGGGUGUGAAAUCUCGGGGCUUAACUCCGAAACUGCAUUCGAUACUGCCGUGCUUGAGGACUGGAGAGGAGACUGGAAUUUACGGUGUAGCGGUGAAAUGCGUAGAUAUCUGGAGGAACACCGGUGGCGAAGGCGACAUCCUGGACCGGUAUUGACGCUGAGGCGCGAAAGCCAGGGGAGCAAACGGG
rnacentral:rRNA from 1 species